CUGAAAUUACUACUGCCACAUUGUACUGCUUAUUCUAUCUGAUAAAGCUUGCCAAUUUCUUAAUGCACAUGAAGGGUCUUGCGCAAUACUUGCUGGCAGUUUUAAAUGCUCAGGGGACACCCCUUCAUUGGAAGCAGUUGAACAACAGGAGACUUGAAGGGUUCAAAAUGAUUCUAAGGAAAAACAUGAGUACAAUCUUAAAGAUCUUCGGGGCCAAUUAGGAGGAAGCUGCCAAAUAAUUCUGAUAUGAUUUACACUGAGGAUUCACUAGUCAUAUAAAAAGAUGAGAGUGACUCGGAGGGUUUGGUAAAGCAGCAAUUUGUAGCAUACAUAAGGCAUUUAGGAUACCAUAAGGCCUUGGAAGCUCAUUUGAUGAUAUCAAAUAAGUUUCUUACUUUUUUUAGGGCAGAUAAACUUGGUCCAUUCAUCCUUGAUGAAGUCCCUGAUGCAAAUGCUGUGUCUUGAGUUGUAAGUCACGUUUUUUUUUUUUUUUUUCCUUUUCUUUUUGGUGUGUAACAUUACGACUGUAUAUGCUGGUCUUUUCUUCCUCUUCCCUUUCCCCUCUUCUAUAUUGUCUUGGUGUUUUAAACUUACUAUAAUUGUAUUAUAGAGCUAAAAGAUGCUUUGAAUUGGUCAGUUUUUGUCACAUUCUUAAUGGAAAAUCUGCAAAGCAGUGCUAAUGAUGCUCCAUUUUGGACA